GAUGAAGAACGUAGCGAAAUGCGAUAAGUAAUGUGAAUUGCAGAAUUCAGUGAAUCAUCGAAUCUUUGAACGCACCUUGCGCUCUUUGGUAUUCCGAAGAGCAUGCCUGUUUGAGUGUCAUGAAAAUAUCAACCUUGACUUGGGUUUUGUGCUCUAGUCUCGGCUUGGAAUUGGGUGCUUGCCGCUUUUACGAGCGGCUCACCUUAAAUGUAUUAGCUGGAUCUGUCUUUGAGAUUUGGUUUGACUUGGCGUAAUAAGUAUUUCGCUAAGGACAUUCUUCGGAGUGGCCUCGUUUCUAGGACGCUUGUCCGCUUUCCAAUACAAGUUCCACCUCGUGGACAUGACUUUUUAUUAUCUGGCCUCAAAUCAGGUAGGACUACCCGCUGAACUUAAGCAUAUCAAUAAGCGGAGGA
rnacentral:misc_RNA from 1 species